rnacentral:misc_RNA from 1 species
UCCGGUUUGUCACCGGCAGUCUCGCAUGAGUCCCCAACUAAAUGCUGGCAACAUGCGACGGGGGUUGCGCUCGUUGCGGGACUUAACCCAACAUCUCACGACACGAGCUGACGACAGCCAUGCAGCACCUGUGCAUCGGCCCCGAAGGGAAGACGGCUUUCACCGCCGAUCCAAUGCAUGUCAAACCCAGGUAAGGUUCUUCGUGUUGCGUCGAAUUAAACCACAUGCUCCACCGCUUGUGCGGGCCCCCGUCAAUUCGUUUGAGUUUUAGCCUUGCGGCCGUACUCCCCAGGCGGAACACUUAUCGCGUUGGCUGCGGCACGGACAGAUUCGACUCCGCCCACACCUAGUGUUCAUCGUUUACGGCGUGGACUAC